GUCCAACCUGCCCAGUGAAUCUUCUUAAACGGCCGCGGUAUCCUAACCGUGCAAAGGUAGCGCAAUCACUUGCCCCUUAACUGGGGGCUAGUAUGAACGGUCUCAUGAGGGCACAACUGUCUCCUGCAGCCAGUCAAUGAAAUUGAUAAUUCAGUACAAACGCUGAGAUACCCCCACAAGACGAGAAGACCCUGUGGAACUUUUAACUACCCUACUAGCAACCACCACUCAAACCCCCACCCCUAGCAGCUAGUUUAAGUUGGGGCAACUACGGAGCACAACAAAACCUCCAUGAAAUACGAAUAACACUCGCCGCCAAGGCCAACAUGCCAAAACACUAAAACUUGAUCCAGUAUAACUGAUUACCGAACCAAGCUACCCCAGGGAUAACAGCGCAAUCCCCUUCAAGAGUCCAUAUCGCCAAGGGGGCUUACGACCUCGAUGUUGGAUCAGGACCCCCAGGCGGUGCAGCCGCUGCCAAAGGCUCGUUUGUUCAACGAAUAAUGUCCU
rnacentral:rRNA from 2 species